rnacentral:rRNA from 1 species
UCAUAUCAAUAAGCGGAGGAAAAGAAACCAACAGGGAUUGCCCCAGUAACGGCGAGUGAAGCGGCAACAGCUCAAAUUUGAAAUCUGGCCCCCCGCGGGCCCGAGUUGUACUUUGGAGAGGACGCUUCUGGCGCGGCGCCGUCCGAGUUCCCUGGAACGGGACGCCGGAGAGGGUGAGAGCCCCGUACGGGCGGCCGCCUAGCCUCUGCGAAGCUCCUUCGACGAGUCGAGUAGUUUGGGAAUGCUGCUCAAAAUGGGAGGUAAAUUUCUUCUAAAGCUAAAUACCGGCCAGAGACCGAUAGCGCACAAGUAGAGUGAUCGAAAGAUGAAAAGCACUUUGAAAAGAGGGUCAAACAGUACGUGAAAUUGUUGAAAGGGAAGCGCCUGUGGCCAGACUUGCGCCCCGCGGACCACCCGGCGCCUCGCGCGCCGGGGCACGCCAGCGGGGCGCAGGCCAGCAUCGGCUCUCUCGGGGGGACAAAGGCCGCGGGAACGUAGCGCCCUCGCGGCGUAUUAUAGCCCGCGGCGCCAUGCCCCCGGGGGGGCCGAGGACCGCGCUCCGGCAAGGAUGCUGGCGUAAUGGCCACCGGCGACCCGUCUUGAAACACGGACCAAGGAGUCAAGCAUUGGGGCGAGUGUCUGGGUGGCAAGCCCGCACGCGGAAUGAAAGUGAACGCAGGUGGGAGCUUCGGCGCACCACCGACCGAUCCUGAUGUCCUCGGAUGGAUUUGAGUAGGAGCCCCGCCGCUUGGACCCGAAAGAUGGUGAACUAUGCCUGUAUAGGGUGAAGCCAGAGGAAACUCUGGUGGAGGCCCGCAGCGGUUCUGACGUGCAAAUCGAUCGUCAAAUAUGGGCAUGGGGGCGAAAGACUAAUCGAACCAUCUAGUAGCUGGUUACCGCCGAAGUU